AUUGAACGCUGGCGGCAUGCCUUACACAUGCAAGUCGAACGGCAGCACGGGAGCAAUCCUGGUGGCGAGUGGCGAACGGGUGAGUAAAGUAUCGGAACGUGCCCAGUCGUGGGGGAUAACGUAGCGAAAGCUACGCUAAUACCGCAUACGAUCUAUGGAUGAAAGCGGGGGAUCGCAAGACCUCGCGCGAUUGGAGAGGCCGAUAUCAGAUUAGGUAGUUGGUGGGGUAAAGGCUCACCAAGCCGACGAUCUGUAGCUGGUCUGAGAGGACGACCAGCCACACUGGGACUGAGACACGGCCCAGACUCCUACGGGAGGCAGCAGUGGGGAAUUUUGGACAAUGGGCGAAAGCCUGAUCCAGCCAUGCCGCGUGCAGGAUGAAGGCCUUCGGGUUGUAAACUGCUUUUGUACGGAACGAAAAGGUUUGGCCUAAUAAGCUGAGCUCAUGACGGUACCGUAAGAAUAAGCACCGGCUAACUACGUGCCAGCCGCCGCCGUAA
rnacentral:rRNA from 1 species